UACGAUUAUAUCACGUUGAAACACCGGUUCGCGCACGAUCACCGAAAUUAAGCAACGUCAAGCCUGGCGAGUACCUACAUGGGUGACCGCUUGGAAAUACCAGUUGCU